rnacentral:lncRNA from 1 species
UAGAGUGCCCCUGGAUUCAAUCCCCAAUACCAAUACAUGAAUAAAUAAAUAAAUAGGAUUUUGAAACUGUAUUAUAUAUCUUCCAGUUGACAAUGAAGACUCUAUCACCCCUGGUAGGAGAAGUGUUGUAUGUUCCUGGUAUGAAAUACAACUGUUGAAACUUCCACUAUCGGUGAACGUGAAUGGGAGACUACCAAGAGAAAAUGUGCCAGCCAGUUCAUUUCUAAGGUUUUUGACAGACUGGGAAAAAUACUACCUAUAAGGACAAUGGAAUCAGAUAGCUCUUUCUGAGUAUCUCUGAUGCAUUGAAGACAGACAUCAGAAGACAGUAGCAUGAAAAACAGGGCUUCCCUGAAAGUUUAUAUAGAAACUCUCAUCUCUUGCAGCUAUAAGACAGAAAAGGUUCAAGGUAAGGCCCUCCAUUUAAUUGUAAAAGUUUGCAGAACUCCAAAUGAAUUUUAAUUCCUAGCCUCAACAAACCUGCUAUGUCAAGAUGAGAACCCAACUAGGAGGAAAUGAAAUCCUGAGACUUGAGUAGAGGACAUUGGAUUGAUGCACUUAAAAACCUUGAAACUACAUAUCCCUCUAAAACCUUUGGGCCUACAAACAUGACCCACUGUUCCUGUUAAUGGCUAGUGCUCUCACUUGCCUGAAAAAUAAAGCAGAGACCCUCUCAAUCUAUACAAGAAAUCCAAGCAGCCAGAUGUGGUGAUGCACACCUGUAAUCCCAGUGGUUCAGGAGGCUGAAGCAGGAGGAUCAUGAGUUGAAAGCCGGCCUCAACAAAAGCAAGGUGAGACCCUGCUUCAAAAUAAAAUGUGGC